rnacentral:lncRNA from 1 species
UCAGGGCAGAAGUAGAUCUAUAAAACAAGGUCACGCCACAGUUCCGGUUCCUCCUAAGAGGAUCUCCAAGCACUCUAAAAGCGCGGUUUUCGCGACGGUAUUUUCCCCAACUUUUAAAGGAAUCCAGGUCCCAGGUCAUGUUUCCGUACCUACCAUUUAACUUCCCACCUCAAGCAGGUCCAGCGCCACUGGUCGUACUGCUAGCCGCACUUCCCAACCUUCCUGCUCCUAAGAAGAUAUAACACCCUUUGAUCUCCUCUCCAGUGCUUUGUGGCUUAAGGAACCUUGAUGUGCAAGACAAAUAUGCUCUGUAACUGUGCGCACGCGGAACCAUCUAUCAUCACCCUGCCUUUAAACAUGACCGGUACUUUGUGUGUUUCAGAGAAAUUAAUCUGCUGUUUAGUGGAAGAAAACCAAGGCAAAACCAUCUUCCUGCAUGCACCGUCUUCUUGCAGACUCAACAGCAUUUUCAGUGUCUCGGGCUCCCGCUCCGUAAACCACAAACUUGACCUUCGAGCGGAUUUCAAAAGCAGAGGUUUCCUCCCUCUCCCUCUCUGGCUCCUAUGGAGCGCCUGGGCAUACUUGUGGGUAGCAGCUGCAUGUACCAGAGCUGGGAACUAUACGUCGAGGAGACUUGGAGAUACUAGUGGGCGGCAGGGUGGGGGCUGGGGAGCGAGGCAAAGAUGGGCGGGAGGAGAGGGAGAGAGGAUGGGGUGGAGGGGGAGGAUAGAUCUGUCUGCAUAUGCAUGAAGCACCCAGCACUGCCCUCUUCCCAAGCAGCUGCUGUGUGGGAGGCGGAGGAGGAAGGGGGAAGGGAAGGACUAAGAUGGGCGGGGCGGCAGAAACUGCCUUUAAACUGGACCUCGGUUUGGAGGGCGAAAGAGGUGAUUUGCAUGGCGUCCGGUGAUUGGCUGAGGUCCGAGGGCUGGGUCUGAGAGGCGGCCUCUGAAUGGUUUAAGGAGAAAAUCUCUGAAUUCUGAUUUCUAAAGUCGGGACCGCCGGGUAGAUGCAGUAUGCAAUCAGGACGCAAGGAGGCGCGAUGUCCUAUCUUUGUUCUGCUUAAAAGGUCUUUUUCCGUCCUCCUUCAGCCGUCCCCGCCCCCACCCCCACGCGCAGACUCACGCAGAAAGUGCAGAGAAACCCUGUGAUCCAGUCAACUGGCACUGCCCCGUCUAUUAAGAAAGAUGAACGCUCCUUUCUCUUCCAUCUCCUUCAUGGGAGACCACUUUUCAUUUCAGAUUAUCACAUCAAUAAAUAUUCUUCGAGGAACAAAAAAGGCACUUUGCCAAAAGAUAAAAGAAUAUAUGUGAAAUGUGUGGACUGUAGAGAAAGGCACUACACGAAGGCAAAAGAAUAGAAGCACAUAUGUAAAUAACGCACAUAAUCACAUCAAGAACACAAAACACAAGGGCAGAUACAGACAGGGCACCCGGAGAGAACGUGGGCUGCUCCCAAGGUCCUCAGAGUCUGCAUGCUUCCCACACGCAGAGGCACACACCCGCUGAUGAGCCAAUGAUCUUCCCCAACACACAAGCACACACACAUAACACACACCUCAGAAAAGGCAUUCACGCGAAUUCACACGCAGUGAAAAUUUUGCAGAGGAAAUACUAGAGCAGAAUUAAAUGGUUUAUCCCCUCCCCCUCCAAAAUAUACUCAAGCAAAAUGAUUCUACUUGCAUAUUACUAAUACACGCAGGGCACUGAAAGGAGGAAAAUGGCUCCAGUUGGGGCACACAGUGGAGAAUACGUGUGUACAAUGCAUACACAGACACACGCGCGCGCGAGCAUCUGUGGGCGGGACACACCCACAGCCUGUGUCCUCUGCCCAUGGGCACAGGCAGAGGACAGAUUCCAUCAGCAGCGCUCAGUACAAUUGUCGGAAGAAGAAACCCACCCUAUUCGGCAACUAUGAAACAUGUCAGAGUGCCAAGGGUUUCUAAGACCCAGAUCAAUACAUUCUUGUUACAAAAGUGGUCAAAAAAAUAAUUGAUGCAUCUUAGAUAAUUGAGUGCUGUAGCAUAUUCGCUCAAACAAUACUUCGAAAUGACUUCAGCCUGAAGAUAGCUUUCUAAACUGAAAAAAAAAAAAAAAUCCCUAAGAAAUUAGAUGUUCAUUUGCUUUCUCUUGUUUUUUUAUUAUUAUUAUUUUUAAAUAAUAGUAUGAAUGCUAGUAGAGACAGCAUUUUUCUCUUCCUCCAAAAGAGGGGAACUGAUUUUGUUUUGUGAACCCAGGAGCUUUCCAGUUGGUUUCCCAGUGAAAAAGGUGGCAGGAGGGUCCUCUGCUUACCCUCCCAGCCAGACAGCACCACAAAAGGCAUUAUUACACAUCCCAAAUUGCAAGGGCUGUCUAUAUAUUUACGAAUCUGUUCAAAUAUUUAACCUCUUAACUUGCUAAAUACCCCCUCUUCUUCCUUUCUCCUCUGCGCUCUCCCUCUCCCCCCUGUCUGUCUUCUCUCCAGUCCUUUCUUUUUUCUCUUUCUCUUUCUAAAAAGGAAAGGCAUAGAAAGCCCCUUUCUGGAGUUCUUGGAGUGACUGUCACAGUCUCCACCUGACACUGUUUUACUAACGAUUUCCUGUCCUAACAACUGUGGGAGCCUUUUUGUUUGUUUGUUUUUUGCAGUCCCAAAGACCGAGUUUGAACCCUCAGUUACAUUUCUUAAGUAGAAGCGUUGAGGUUGUCCGCACCCCGCCCCCUCAGCGCAGCUUUUUAACAACUCCUAGGGAAAGCUUUGCCUACAUCCGAGGGAGCUUACUGACACUCUACAAAUCUCCUGAUUCCCGACCCUCUCGAUCCCCACACUCUUCAUUCGGGAUAAACGCUUCUUUGGGCCACCUCUUUCCUGUCAAGGGACGAGUAGAGGGACGAGUGCACAGGAAGAGAUCUUCCAAAGACAGCCUGAAAUUUUCGUUAGUGUGGGGUGAACAGGAGCGAGGCGCACGUCUGAUGCUGGGACCGUCUGGGACCACCACCACAGAGAAUCUCAGCCUAAAUCUUCUUUUACGGGUCAAAUAACGCAUUCUAAGGGGCAGAGCAAACUGCGAAGGUAUCUGGUGGUGGGCCUUUAUGCAGGAACAUAAGCUUUCGCAAACAUCGAGGUUUCCUUAUGUUGAUGGGUACAGUGUGGGUACAGCGUGGGUAGAGCGUGCGCACAACAGACUGUGGAACUGACCCCUCACCUCCCAGGCCGCUGCCCAGCCCAGCUCCGCAGGCGGCAGCCCAGGAGAGGGUUCCCAUCGAUGGAUCAAUCCACAGAUCCAUUCCCCCAAAGUGCUCUUGCCUCACCUAGGACUUUCUCCCGUGACACCAUUUAAAGUAGCCUGAAAGUGCUUCUCCAUGCCUUUGAGGGAGAGGGAGUCUCAAAGAAUGUCGGGAAAAGUAAAAUAAAAUAACAGUGCCGAAAGGAGAUUGACUCUCAGCGAAUUUCCUCUGGCCUAAAAAAAAAAAAAAGAGAGAAAAGAAAAAGAAAAAAGAAAAGAAAAAGAAUAACUUUAUUUAUAAUCCGCUGCCAGCCUUAUUUCAGAGAAGAUGAAACAAUGAAGGUGCAGUUUGGCCAGACAGUAAGAUGAGUUUUCAUUUGCCCUUUGUUCAAUGGUAGGUACAUACCAGUUUCAAAGAACUUCGGGGAUCCCUCAGCCUGCAAGGUAAUCCAGCUCCUAGCCCGCAUAAGCAUCUUACAGACAAACAGCCCUCAGCCCUGACACUUGCCCUCAGCCAAACUCAAGUUAGGAUCACACCUGUCAGUGGUCCAAGAAACUCUCGCCCCCAGAACACCCCAGCAGCUGGACUAACUUAGUGAAAAGCUAAGCUCCCCUCAGUAUGGCAAUGAACUUUGCUCGCUGCUGUCGGGAGCUAGCACGCCCGCAUCAACAGCUCUCAGGGCCCCGCCAAAGCCUUGAGCAAAAGGAUAACAUACAUAUUUUUAAGUGGCUUACAAAUAAAAAGAAACUAAAAAGAAAAAAAAAACCCAACAACAAAAAUAAAAACAUUUAUGCUUGCUGAAGAGGAUGAAAAGCUGUUUGAAAACCAACCAGAACACAAGUAUGUUCCCUUUGUGUGCUACAUUAGAGGUGGAAGCACACUAGUACUGCAUACCGUAGGCACACCCUCUAAAAUGUGUGGGUUCGCAGGACUGUAUGAUUGUCCACCUACUGCUCAAGCCCAGAAGAAAACUGCUACGGUUACUGUUGUUCUAGUUUCUUAUCAGAAAAGAUAUUCAUUUGAACACAUUAUCUAAAUCUGCGUAAGAAUGAAGGCUGCUUGUCAUGCGUCCUUCGUUUUCAGUAAUGUGUGCCACCCAAUUAGAAGCAAUUUAGGCAAUCAAGACCGUAGGAGAGAAGAAGGUGUUAAAAAUAGGUUUUCUAAAGCCUCAGAACUCUAAUUUGGAAGAAAAUCUAAAAUUACAUAUGUAACGUUUCUUUACAUAAAAUAAAUACAUAAUCUGGG